GGAUUAGAUACCCUGGUAGUCCACGCCGUAAACGAUGCUCACUCGCUGUAUGCGGUACACAGUAUGCGGCCAAGCGAAAGCAUUAAGUGAGCCACCUGGGGAGUACGUCGGCAACGGUGAAACUCAAAGGAAUUGACGGGGGCCCGCACAAGCGGAGGAACAUGUGGUUUAAUUCGAUGAUACGCGAGGAACCUUACCUGGGCUUAAAUGUAGGUUGACAGGACCAGAAAUGGUUUUUUCUUCGGACAACUUACAAGGUGCUGCAUGGUUGUCGUCAGCUCGUGCCG
rnacentral:rRNA from 1 species